AUUAGCGUACUUCUGAUUUCAUUUCCUUCUGUGUACGGGGCUUGACCGGACAUGUCGGAGGGCCGGCCCUUAGCUCCGCCGAGACGGAGAAUAUGGAGAUUCGACUACUGUAUAUCGAAAGCGGACUACUAAAUGAGCCAAAUUUGACAAUACCAAUUUCUGUACUAAGUGGCAAUAAGUAUUGACUUCACUAUGUUUGAGCUAUCAACAGAAUCUGUGUGAUUAUGUUACCCUUACUCAGAGCAAUGCUGUGAAGUAUUUGGGACUCCACAUUGUUGAAAACCUUCUGUGGAAAGUACAUGUAAAAACAAUUAAAACAUAUUUGCUUGCA